rnacentral:rRNA from 1 species
UACGUAGGGGGGCAAGCGUUGUCCGGAAUCAUUGGGCGUAAAGAGCGUGUAGGCGGCCCGAUAAGUCCGCUGUGAAAGUCCAGGGCUCAACCCUGGGAUGCCGGUGGAUACUGUCGGGCUCGAGUCCGGAAGAGGAGUGUGGAAUUCCUGGUGUAGCGGUGAAAUGCGCAGAUAUCAGGAGGAACACCAAUGGCGAAGGCAGCACUCUGAGACGUGACUGACGCUGAGACGCGAAAGCGUGGGGAGCAAACAGG